rnacentral:rRNA from 1 species
AAUAUUUGUCAAUGGACGCAAGUCUGAACCAGCCACGUCGCGUGAAGGAAGACGGCCCUACGGGUUGUAAACUUCUUUUGUAAGGGAAUAAAGUGAGUCACGUGUGACUUCUUGCAUGUACCUUCCGAAUAAGGAUCGGCUAACUACGUGCCAGCAGCCGCGGUAAUACGGAGGAUCCGAGCGUUAUCCGGAUUUAUUGGGUUUAAAGGGUGCGCAGGCGGGAGAUUAAGUCGGCGGUGAAAUUUUGCAGCUCAACUGUAAAAGUGCCUUCGAAACUGGUUUCCUUGAGUAUGGAUGAAGUAGGCGGAAUUUGUGGUGUAGCGGUGAAAUGCAUAGAUAUCACGAGGAACUCCGAUUGCGCAGGCAGCUUACUAAGCCAUAACUGACGCUCAGGCACGAAGGCGUGGGGAUCAAACAGG